rnacentral:rRNA from 1 species
CUACGUGCCAGCAGCCGCGGUAAUACGGAAGGUCCGGGCGUUAUCCGGAUUUAUUGGGUUUAAAGGGAGCGUAGGCUGGAGAUUAAGUGUGUUGUGAAAUGUAGACGCUCAACGUCUGACUUGCAGCGCAUACUGGUUUCCUUGAGUACGCACAACGUUGGCGGAAUUCGUCGUGUAGCGGUGAAAUGCUUAGAUAUGACGAAGAACUCCGAUUGCGAAGGCAGCUGACGGGAGCGCAACUGACGCUGAAGCUCGAAGGUGCGGGUAUCGAACAGGAUUAGAUACCCUGGUAGUCCGCACAGUAAACGAUGGAUGCCCGCUGUUGGUACCUGGUAUCAGCGGCUAAGCGAAAGCAUUAAGCAUCCCACCUGGGGAGUACGCCGGCAACGGUGAAACUCAAAGGAAUUGACGGGGGCCCGCACAAGCGGAGGAACAUGUGGUUUAAUCCGAUGAUACGCGAGGAACCUUACCCGGGCUUGAA